rnacentral:rRNA from 1 species
GACGAACGCUGGCGGCGUGCUUAACACAUGCAAGUCGAACGGAAAGGCCCUGCUUGCAGGGUACUCGAGUGGCGAACGGGUGAGUAACACGUGGGUGAUCUGCCCUGCACUUCGGGAUAAGCCUGGGAAACUGGGUCUAAUACGGAUAGGAGGCAUUUUUAGUGUGAUGGUUGGAAAGGUUUUUUGGUGGAGGAUGAGCUCGCGGCCUAUCAGCCUGUUGGUGGGGUAAUGGCCUACCAAGGCGGCGACGGGUAGCCGGCCUGAGAGGGUGGACGGCCACAUUGGGACUGAGAUACGGCCCAGACUCCUACGGGAGGCAGCAGUGGGGAAUAUUGCACAAUGGGCGCAAGCCUGAUGCAGCGACGCCGCGUGGGGGAUGACGGCCUUCGGGUUGUAAACUCCUUUCGCUAGGGACGAAGCUUUUUGUGACGGUACCUAGAUAAGAAGCACCGGCUAACUACGUG